rnacentral:rRNA from 1 species
AUGAACGCUAGCGGCAGGCCUAACACAUGCAAGUCGAGGGGUAUAGGGAGCUUGCUUCCUAGAGACCGGCGCAAGGGUGCGUAACGCGUGAGCAACAUGCCCUAUACAGGGGGAUAAUCCAGGGAAACUUGGUCUAAUAUCCCAUAGUAUUUAGAGGAGGCAUCUUCUAUAAAUUAAAGCUUCGGUGGUAUAGGAUUGGCUCGCGUGACAUUAGCUAGAUGGUGAGGUAACGGCUCACCAUGGCAAUGAUGUCUAGGGGUUCUGAGAGGAAGGCCCCCCACACUGGGACUGAGACACGGCCCAGACUCCUACGGGAGGCAGCAGUGAGGAAUAUUGGACAAUGGAUGGAAAUCUGAUCCAGCCAUGCCGCGUGCAGGAAGACAGCCCUAUGGGUUGUAAACUGCUUUUAUAUGGGAGCAAUAAGGUUUACGCGUAGACCGAUGAGAGUACCAUAUGAAUAAGCAUCGGCAAACUACGUG